UUAAAUAUAAAAUGGUGUUUAGCUUUCUUUAGUCUAAAAACUAAUAAAGAUAGGUGCUAAAGGAAACAUUCAUUUUACUAGAGGAUCAUAGAAGUUAAAGACUUAAAACAAACUUUGACAAUUAAGACAGCAUACCAGAAUGCAAAUGCCUGGUUAAAAUGGAUCACAUAUUCCAUCUGCACGUUAAACAAAACCAAUUGUUUGCUUGUGCACAUGGCAGGUCAGAGGCCCUGACUGUCCCACUUCCACUAAGGUGAUCCUCCAGUCAACCAGGCAUGGGCUCUUUUCCAGGAUUCUACAGCCUGGAGUAAUAAGUCAUGCCAAGCUCUCUCUGCUAUAUCCCAAAGUCCGUGCGGGUCAGCCCCUGAGGGCCAUCCAGCUGCUGUCUCCCAACACUAAGUUCACUUCGUGUCUCUCACGGCAGGGAGGAAACUUGGCAUUCCUUGGAGACUAGAAAGGAUGCAAUGAGCUUAAGAAUUUUCAAGUGCUUAUCAAUCAGCCAGCCCUUGUUCAUCCCCGAGCGGAUGUGUAGUGGUACUGUGGUAGACCCUUACUGGGCAUUCUGCCUAAUAACUAGAGUGGCACUUGUGCUUUAGUCCAUUUGGCUAUCCCUUUCACCCUGGCAUUUUAUUAACCAGAGAAAAGAAAAAAAAUAAAAUAAUAAGACAUCAUAAAGCUAGAGAAGCCCUUUGUAGGUCUUUCAACUCUCACAUCUAUUUAGAUGCAAUUGGAGCCCCACAAAGAAUGUCAGAUCAAUUUAAAGCUUGAAAUCAAAUAGUUACAGGAUUUAAGUCAGUAUUUUGGUAGAUGACAGUCAAUAAAAAUGUAGAUUAGAUAAACUACAUCUAUUAAAACCAACAGCACCGGGCUUUUCAUGAGUUAAAAAGAAAAACUCAUGUCGGCCUCAGUCCUGAGGCUACCUGACCUGACAAAACUCUUUACACUCUAUGUGUCAGAAAGAGAAAAAAUAGCAGUUGGAGAUUUAACCCAGACUGUAGGGCCCUGGCCAAGGCCAGUGGCCUAUCUCUCAAAACAACAGGAUGGGGUUUCUAAAGGCUGGCCUCCGUGUCUAACAGCCUUGGCAGCAACGGCCCUGUUAGCACAAUAAGCAGAUAAGCUAUCCCUUGGACAGAACCUAAAUAUAACAGCCCCUCAUGGGGUGGUAACUGAUGAAUAACUAAGGACACCACUGGCUAACUAAUGCUAAAUUAACUAAGUACCAAGGCUUGUUAAUGUAAAAACCCCCACAUGACCAUUGAAGUCUGUGACACUUUAAAUCUUGCCGCCUUGCUCCCAGUAUCUGACAGCCCUGUUAAACAUAACUUUGUAGAGGUGUUGGACUCUGUCUAUUCUAGCAGACCAGAUCUUUGAGACCAGCCAUGAGCAUCAGUAGAUUGGGAAUUAUACAUGGACGGGAGCAGCUUCAUCAACUCGCAAGGAAAAAGGUGCGCAAGAUAUGCGGUAGAAACCUUGGAUGAUGUUGUUGAAGCUAAGUCAUUGCCUCAGGGCACUUCGGCCCAAAAAGCAGAACUCAUUGCUCUCACUUGGGCUCCGGAACUCAGCGAAGGUAAGAUUGUAAACAUCUGUACUCAUUCUCAAUAUGCCUUUCUAACCCUUCAAGUACAUGGAGCAUUGUAUAAAGAAAAAGGCCUGUUAAAUUCUGGGGGAAAAGACAUAAAAUAUCAACAAGAAAUUAGGCAGUGUAGAAACCACAAAGGGUGGCAGUCAUGCAUUGCAGGGGACACCAGCGAGUUUCCACCUCAGUGAGCCAAGGAAACUCCCGAGCAGACACAGAGGCAUGAAAAGCAUCAUCUACUUCUUAUCGGGCAUCAGUCACAGACCCACUACUCCCUCAAAUGCUUGGGGAGGUGCCAACUUAUUCUAAAGAGGAAAAAGAUUUUCUUCAGGCAGAAGGAGGACAAACAAUAAAGGAAGGAUAGAUAAAGUUACCAGAUGGAAGAAUAGCUGUGCCACAGCUGCUAGGAGCCGCAGUCGUGCUGGCUGUACAUGAAACUACCCAUUUAGGCCAAGAAUCACUUGAAAAGCUGUUAGGCCGGUAUUUCUACAUCUCACACUUGCCAGCUCUUGCUAAAACAGUAGCGCAGCAAUGCCUUACCUGUUGAUAGCACAAUGCAAAGCAAGGACUCUCUGUGCCUCCUGGCAUAUGAGCCUAUGGAGCGGCUCCUUUUGAAGAUCUCCAAGUGGACUUCACAGAGAGGCCUAAAUGUGGAGGUAACAAGUAUUUACUGGUUCUAGUGUGUACUUACUCUAGGUGGGUGGAGGCUUAUCCAACACGAACUGAAAAAGCUCGUGAAGUAACCCGUGUGCUUCUUCAAGAUCUCAUCCCUAGGUUUGGACUGACUCUACGCAAUAGCUCAGAUAAUGGGACGGCAUUUGUGGCUGACUUGGCAUGAAGCCUGCAGCCGCUGAGACCUGGGAUGCCAAACCAAGCAUGAGGAAAAUCAUCGUUGUGGUACUUAUUUUCCUUAUAACAUGGACCUGUGUGGUAAAAGCUUCCACUGCUUCUUCCCACACAGAGAACUGGCCUCAGUGCAUACAUCAGGUCACUGGGGUAGGACAAGUUAAGGCAAUCUUUUUAUUUUAUAGCUAUUAUGAAUGCCUAGGAACUCCAAAGGGAAUCUGUUUGUAUAAUGACACCCAGUACAAAGUAUGUAAUCCAGGAAGUGACCAGCCCAAUGUGUGCUAUGACCCUUCUGAACCUCCCAUGGUCACAGUCUUUGAAGUAAGACUAAGGACUGGUCCUUUUCUAAGAGACAAAAGUAAAGUAAUAGUUGGAACAGAAGAAAGAGGGGUCCUCAAAAAUGAAACCUUAAAAUUUGAUUCCCGUGCCAUGAUUAAUAGUAAGUAGCAUGAGAUAAGAUGCAGUUUUCUAGAUUGGGAAAAAAGUUACACAGCAGAAAAUAAGUAUAUCUUUCAAAAAUCAUAUUUAUGUGAGAUGUGUCAAUACUGGUCUUGUGUCAUUUGGGCUACUUGAAAAGAAGAUUAAAAGAUCCCAUUUAGCUCCAAAAAGGAAAAGUCAGCCCCUCCUGCAUGAGCAGGAGCUGCAACCCUUUAAAAUUGGUAAUCACAAACCCCUCAGACCCAAAAUAGAAUAAAGGAAAAUACAUAACAUUAGGCAUUGAUGGAAAAGGAUCUCCUAGCAUAAACAUCCUAAUAAAAGGAGAGGUUCAAAGAUGCUCUCCAGAACCAGUAUUUCAGACUUUCUAUGAUGAAUUAAAUGUGCCAGUACCUGAGAUUCCAGAAGGAAGUAAAAAUUUGUUUUUGCAAUUAGCUGAACAUGUAGCCCAGUCUCUAAAAUUCACUUCAUGUUAUGUUUGUGGAGGAACUGUAACAGGAGAUCAAUGGCCAUGAGAAGCCUGAGAAUUAGUUCUUACAGACCCAGUUCCUGAUGAAUUCCCGGCCCAAAAGAACCACCUUGACAAUUUUUGGGUUCUAAAAGCCUCAAUUAUUGGACAGUAUUGCAUAGCUAGAGAAGGAAAAGGAUUUACUCAUCCUGUAGGGCGGCUUAGUUGUCUUGGUCAAAAUCUGUAUAAUAGUACCACAGAAACAGUUACAUGGUGGAGUUCCAAUUACACAGAAGGAAAUCCAUUCAGUAAAUUUCCAAAGCUGCAGACUGUUUGGACCCACCCAGAAUUCCACCAGGACUGGACAGCCCCCACAGGGUUAUACUGGAUAUGUAGACACAGUUUAUGCUAAGCUGCCUGAUCAGUGAACAGGUAGCGGUGUAAUUGGCACCAUUAAGCCAUCUUUCUUCUUACUGCCCAUAAAAACAGGUGAACAUUCCAGACUUCCCAGUCUAUGCUUCCCAUGAAAAACGAAGCAUAGACAUAGGUGAUUGAAGAGAUGAUGAAUGGCCCCCUAAAAGAAUCACACAGUACUAGGGACCUGCCACUUGGGCACAAGAUGGCUCAUGGGGAUAUCAGACCCCCAUCUACGUGCUCAACUGAAUCAUACGGUUACAAGCUGUUUUAAAAAUUAUUACUAAUAAAACCGGUCAAGCCUUGACUGUUCUUGCCCAGCAAGAAACUAUGAUGAGAAAUGCUAUCUAUCAAACAAGACUAGCUCUUGACUACUGGCUAGCAGCUGAAGGAGGAGUUUGUGGAAAAUUUAACCUUACUAAUUGUUGUCUACACAUAGAUGAUCGGGGCAAGUAGUUGAAGCUAAAAAUGUAACAAAACUGGCACAUGUACCCAUGCAAGUGUGGCAUGGACUUAAUCUGGGAGCCAUGUUUAGAAAUUGGUUCCCAGCAAUAGAAGGAUUUAAAACUCUUAUAAUAAGAGUAAUAAUAGUAAUAGAAACCUGCUUACUGCUCCCUUGUCUGAUACCUGUAAUUCCUCAAAUGAUAAAAAAGCUUCAUCACUACCUUAGUUCACCAAAAUGCUUCAGCACAAGUGUACUAUAUGAAUCACUAUCAAUCUAUUGCACAAAAAGACAUAAGUAGCAAAAAUAAGAGUGAGAACUCCCACUAAUAAGAAGUGAGAGUCUCAAAGGGGGGAAAUUAGGAAAGAGAGAGACCCUCUCAUAUUGUUUCAUACUCAAUACCUAUUUUAAGGCAAAAACAAGGAAGUGAAACCAAAGACAGGCAACCCAGCACCAGGUCCAAAACCAGGCAUGGGCCUGCCUGGCCUAAACCCAGUAGUUAAAAAUCAACUCAUAACUUAGAAACCGAUGUUAUUCACAGCUUCCAGACAUUGUAUAGAAGAACAUUGUGAAACUCCCUGCCCUGUUCUGUUUCACUCUGACCACUGGUGCAUGCAGACCCUGUCACGAAUGCCCUGCUGGCUCAAUCAGUCACUACUCUUUCAUAUGAAAUCUUUAGUGCUGUGAACCCUUAAAAGGGACAGAAAUGGUGCACUCUGGGAGCUUGGAUUUUGAGAUGGUAGCUUGCCAAUGCUCCCAGCUGAAUAAAGUCCUUCCUUCUACAACUUGGUGUCUGAGAGGUUUUGUCUGUGGCUCCUCCUGCUACACUAUUAUCCCUCUUUUUAUUUGCUUAAAUUAAUCCUUGGAAAAUGUCAAUAUAUAUGAUAUAAUUUUUUAUUUUUGUCUCUUUUUCCCACUAGAUUUUAAGCUUCAUGAAGAAGAGAACUUUGUCUCAUCCACUGCUAUAUCCAAAGAAGAAAGAGCAGAUCCCAGCAUUUUGUAAACACCGACACGUAUAACCGAAUAAGUUGUUAUCACCCUUAAUUCUGUCUGAGUGCCUGGUUCCCAAGGGUCCUAUCUGAUGCGGAACUCCAGAAUACGUUACAAGGAUAUUCGUUAAGAUUGUUCAGCAUUAAGAUGUAUGUCAACAGGAAAAACGGGGCUAGAGAUUUCCAAAGAGAGAAGAAACUACUGGAGAAACCUGUGCCAACAAGACCUGAAGGGAACUUGGUGAAGAAUGUCCCAUGCCCAGUUGUUCUUAGCUCUCAAGGAGUGUAGAAGAUGACCUAGUAUGGUCUGCAGAUCCAAGUGAAGUGUUACAAAGGUUAGAGGAAAAGGAGAGUUACCGAGGUAGAUCUGGACCAAAAAACAACAACAACAACAACAACAACAACAAAAACUUUCCCCACUGGGAGGGCUGAAGGGAAAUUUAGAGUCUUCAUCCAUAGUUGGGGAUACAAUAAAACUAAGCACUCCCCAAGAAACUAUGCUCACCAUCAAUUCAGAGACCAACACAACAGCAGGAUGCAGGAGGAAAUAUAAUCAGAUGAAAUCAGAGAGAGAACAAGAACACCUUCUUGAGAUACCUUCUUGGUACCCACACCUGGGACACAGGCCAUGUUCAUAAUACAGUCUAUUCUCUUCCUUGUCCUGCCCACAGGGGAUAUAUUUUGAUGGGGAAGUGUGCCCAAAGUCAUAGCUGCCUUUCUGCCUCAUCUCAAUCCCUUUGAUUCAACAAUCUAGUUUUGCUGAGAAGGGGGCAGGCUUUGAGUCAGAUAAAAAAUCUGAAAUCUGAAUCUAUAUAGUACUACUCUUCCAUAAGUAAAAAGUAUUCAGAAGUUCAUUAAUUCUGCUCAAAAUCUUGUUGAGAGAUAGUGAAAAGGGGAUUUAACAUGCCGCAAUUUAAAUCAGAGGCUAGAAGAAAUAAUACUAUUUCAGGAUAUAUACCCAAGAGGCUGAAACUUCUUAGCCUUUUUAAUGAACCAAUUAUAACAAUGGGUUGAAAUUAAGAGUCUAGUGAAUUAUAGCUUCUAAUUUUUUUCCCUCUGGAUUUUCAGUUGUUUCUUUAGGAUAGAUUCUUAGAAGUAGGAUUACUGUAUUAAAUAUUUUUGUUUAUGAGGAAUCGAAACACAUUUGAACUAUCUUAUAUUAAAGAAGGAGAUCUCACUGUGAUAUAAUUUCAGAAGUGUGUCAUGAACUCCAUUGAUGGGGAUGAUACUGGACUGCAGGCUAGGAUGUACCCAGGAACUGGGACACUGAAAAACUUUUCUCUUUAUCAUUUUGAUUGUCUGAACAUCUGCCUAUAAUUCCUCUGUUGACAAAGUAGUUUCUUCUUCCUCUCUUUAGUCUGAAUUUUACAUUAGAAUCUUUAAAUAAUCUACAACCAAUUUUAUUGUAUUAUCUAAGACCUCAGUCUCUUCAGAAAAAAAAAAGUCUCAACACCUAACCAGUUGUCCCAGCUUUCUAAUGAAUAAUUCACCUUACCUUGCUAAUUAAUGUUUCUACUUUAUUAUAUAUUAAAUUAUAUAAUAGAAUUUAUAUAUAAUCAGACUAAUUCUUCAUAUUUCUCUGCUGAUUUCAUAAUUAUAGUUUCAGAACAUGUUUUAAAAUCUGGAAGAGCUAAUCUUUCUAAAGAACUUUUUUUCACUGUUCUUAGCUAUUUUUCACCUUUUCAUGUAGUUGAAUUUCAAAAUCAGCUUGUCACAAUUAAAAAUGAAAGCUUUAGUGAUAUUUUGACUGGGAUUAGAUUAGAUUUGUGCAUUAAUUGUCGCUCCUCACUGGAAUAUGGAAUAUCUCCACAUUUACGUAUUUUGUUUUGUGUGUACAUGAGUAAUUUUUGUUUUUUUUAAAAGAUCAUACAUGAAUUUAUGAAAGUAUCAAUUAUAAGAUAUUACUUUUUUAUUUUCUAAUGUAUUAUUGCUCGUAUGUAAAAAAUGUAUUAAUUUGUUGCAUUUUUUACUAGUUCUAACAAUUUUAUCAGUAGAUUGUUUCGGCUCUUUAGUUGGUUUUUGUAUUUUAUAUAGUAUUACUUCAUAAUUUACAACAGACUUGCUCUUUUCCUUUUUACCCCUGGGCACGUGGAUCAAUGCUUCUUCUUCCUGCUUCAAUGAUAUAUGCACUUUUAGCUUGCAGUUGCAGUGCUUUCUUUUACAUGGACCCCAAGAAUUACAGUAUGCAUUGGAACAAAGCAAUCCCACAAAUGUACAUUAUUUAUAGUGUAUUGAUUAACAAUAUCUGUGCUUACAAAAAUCAAUUAAACAAGAUUACAUACUAUAGCAGUUUCCAAACAGUGCCCUAAAACUAUAAACUGUAAUUAGUGGUAUAUAGUUCAUGUGACAAAAUGUACAAACAGGCUGUAGCUCUGGUGAAAGACUCUAUUUCCUCUAACAGAUCCAUUAGUUAUUGCUCACAGUUCAAAAACUGAAUAGCUGUGUCUCCUUUUGAGAGUAAACCCCAGGUCCAGGUGUGGUGGAAAGCCUCUGCUAUCUAGAAGGAUCCAGCCAAUAUCAUCUUAAUUGAAUAUGCAUGAGUAGAGGUAGAUGCUCUGAGACCAAGAAUUUACACGAGUAGAGGUAGAUGUUCUGGGUUCACUUAUCUCUCCAUUAAGGAAAACAUCCUUCUCUUAAAUUUAUAAUUACCCAACUGAUAUUUCUAUCUAGAUAAUGAUUCCUUCUGUUCAAACACUUAAAUGUAGAGAAAAUACCACUCAGGAACAAGAUGAAGGAAUUUGGUAUCAUUUUUCCUGCAUAGAUUCCUUGGAAUCUCACAUGAGGGUUCUGUCCUAUUUAGGUUAGCCCUCUUAGAGGAGUCAGGAGCCUGGCCUUCAGUGGAUGCCAUGCCUAGGUCUUUCAUUGUUAGCCUGGUCCCCCCACAGGCUUGUUGUCAAUGGCACUGUCUUUGUUCCUGCCUUUUUAUCUCAGAGCCACUGACCUGCUAUUGCUUGAGCUGAGAUAAAAUAAUAAUAUCUGUAGAUAUUCACAGUGGUCCGAGUGGGAGGCUUGAUAUCACAGUAACUCAGAAAAAGGAUAAAAAGGUAUAGCUAGCAAACAGCAGAGUGCACGAGCUCCAACUUUAAUUGGAGCUGCUAUGUUGAACAACAAAGAAAACAGGUUGACUCAUUUGGUUUCUAUUGUACUGGAGAGAUGGGGUUAUUUUAGUAUGUGUCCUAGCUAUCCCUUCUAGAGCAUCAAAUAGAAAUAGAUUGGUCCAAGCCCUAGUGAAUGCAUUUGGCUCAUAAUAUAGUUUGCAUUUAAAUCAAAUUUAUAGUUGCCCAAAAUAGAUUCUCCAACUGCGCAGAAGUCACAUAAGUAGCAGGCAUAAUGAUAAGGGUGUUUUUUUUUUCAUGCAUUAAAAAACACAAAAAUUGCUAAAGAUACACUUUUCAAUUGUUAUCCAUCCUACUGAGACUAUUGCAAGGGUUCAGGUUCUCCUCAAUUACACUGAAAUGAUGCACUUUUGUCUGCUGUUCUUUUAAAUCCCUAUUAUCUCUAAAUGUGUUUUUCUGCAAUACUAAAAGGUGUCAAGGAAAUACCAGGAAGCUCAAAAGGUUGUUGGUUCUUUCUUUAUUUUUUCUCUGUUACUUUUUCCCCUUUUUCUUUCUUUUUAUGAGGGUUCAUGGGUACAGUUUAACUUUAUUCUUCCCAAGCAAGGGCCCUCAACUGGGACAUUUUGCUUCUUAGGGGAUCUUUGACAACGUUUGAAGACAUUUUUGGUUUUCACAACUGUGCAUGGAUGGGGAGAUUCGCUACCAGCUAGUGGGUAGAGGCCAGAGAUGCUGCUAAACAAUCUAUAUUGUAUAGGACAGUCGCCACAACAAAGAUUUAUUCAGCCCAAAUGUCAAUAAGAUUGAAAUUGUUCCAGAAGAAAAAUACAAGAUUGAUUACAAAUAUCUUUAAUAUGACUUUUAGAGAAGGCGAAUUUACAUGUUUUCACUCUAUAAUUUUGAAUUUAGAUUGGGGGAUUUGUGUCUUGUGGGGCUUAUACCAGUGGACUGUGCCUUGAAGUUGCCAACACUACUAUUUUUUAAAAAUAAGCCAUAGAUCUGAUGCCACUUUUCUAUUUCAUAUUCUCCUCUAAUAUAUUGCUAAUAUAUCUAAUUGAAAUUAUUUGUCUGUGAUGGAAAAAUAGCACUGAAAUUCUUGGCAGUUACAUUUACCUAGAAAGAGUGGUAUUUAAAUAAAUUUUAAGUUGUUUUCUAAAGAACUUUUGAUGAGAGGAUAGAAGACACUCUAUUCUAAAAGGUGGCAUCUUGGCAUUUGAAAAAGCAGCAGGAGAAGGAAGGUCACUCACACCUUCCCCUUGUGUUUCUUCCCUGAAGCAGGUCAUAAAACCUAGGGAGGACACUCACUGACCUUCCUAUGCUCUUCUUCCCUGAAGCACAUCAUAGGACUCUCAGUCAAAAAGAACUCUUCCUUUACUUAGAGGAAAGAAAUAUCCUUAUUAACAAAGACACAGAAAUACCAGAAACACUCCAAAACAAAAACAAAAACAAAAAACAGGCCCUUGUCAAGUUCCCCCUAAUUUUUUAUCAUCAGAUCGUAUCUUUUUGUCCUCCAAUCAUAUUUCUCGACUGUUCAUUCUUUAUCAAACAUAAAGAUAAAAAUACACAAGUUUACCAGUUUCUUUGAGUCUUCAUUUUCAAAGGCUCUCACGUCCUGUAAAACCUAUAUUAAAUAAAUA